rnacentral:rRNA from 1 species
GCUUACGGCCAUACCAGCCUGGGUACGCCCGAUCUCGUCUGAUCUCGGAAGCUAGGCAGGGUCGGGCCUGGUUAGUACUUGGAUGGGAGACCGCCUGGGAAUACCAGGUGCUGUAAGCA